AGAUAAAGUUAUGUCUGACGGCUU
rnacentral:miRNA from 1 species